UCUCGGAAUAAGCCCCACCCACGGAGCGUCCACCAAGUGCACAUCCGGUUCCAGCUGUCCGAGUAAUUUGAUCUGCCAGGGUGGACAGUGUCAAUGUCCGGUGUCAAUGUAUUACCACACACCUUCUGAACAGUGUGUUUUAAAAUGCUCCUCCAUGACGAGCGAGACAGGAGGUUACGUCACGAGCCCUAACUACCCGAAUGUUUACCCUAACAACACGUACUGUGUGUGGAUCAUUAGAGGCCAGCCUGGAACCUUCAUCAGAUUCAGCACUACCGACUCUC